GCUUCUUCUUCAAUCUCUCUCUCUCUCUCUCCCCGAUUCGAAACAAAUAUGCAGAUCUCAUGCACCUUCUUCCGCUUUGCCUUUCCUUCGCCGGAUCUUUGCCGUCACCGGAGCUUGUUCUUCAUUGCCAUAGCUUCAACGCAAUGAGUUAUCUUUGUGCUUAUCUAUCACCGUAAUUUCCUUGAUUAAUUAGGAUGCAGAGGGUGCACCUCUAACCACUCGUACACGACAACACAUAAUACCAAGUCCUUUUAUUGAGGAUUAUCUACGUCAAGCUGGAUUUUUUGAGGUUACUCAAAUAGAGCGUUACAAAAUUGAUAGGUACAUCAUAACUUGUAGAAAGAUGGUGGUCCGAGACACAUACUUUUUAUUUUCGAACGGGUGAGUGUACAAUCAUGUUGGAAGAUGUAUAUAUUUUACUCGGCUUACCUUUUGGAGGACAAAUUGUUACGUGUCCUCCAAAUCUUCUGUGGAAUAAUUGUGCUCAAUUGUUGCGAAUAACUCCCCCAACACACAAAACUGAUGGUUUUACUCUCUCGUUGUCGUGGUUAAGGGAUAAUCUGGUCGAUAAUAACUUCAAUGAACAAUCUCCUCCGGAGGUAAAAAUACAACACACUAGGAAGUACCUAUUAUACCUUAUUGGAUUAUUUGUGCACAAUUCUUGGUUGUAUUUGUUAUUGGAUUUUAAUGAAACAAGAAAAUAUAGUUGGGGAUCGACAGUUUUGGCUUACCUUUAUCAUGGCUUGUGUGAGGCUUCACACCCAAAUAUAAAAGCACUAGCUGGAUGUCAUUUCUUGUUACAAGUUUGGAGAUAUUGUCGGUUGAGUUAUAUCGCUCCGAGAAAUGAUAACCCACUCCGGUGGCCGCUAGGAUUAAAGUAAACAUGGUCACUUCAAUUUUUUUUUUUUAUUAAUUCCCUCACAUAUUCUCAUUUCCACACAAUUUUCCUGAAGACUAUUUGGACUGCAACAACUUACCUUGUAUGUUUUGACAAAGUUGAAUAGCAUCCAACUGAUAGGGUCAAGCUCCAAUUUGGUUUGCCACAAGAAAUAUCAAGGUCCCCACGAGACAUGCGACAAUUCCAUAUGUUGGACAAACGGUUCAAGACGUGGUACGAAUCAAAGGGUUUUCGCUUUCCACAAGAGAGCGAACAUUGGGACAACCGACGGCGUUAUACUUUACCUCGCAUGCGGCCAAGAUCACUCACCCCAAGUCAUGCGUAUAUUGAGUGGUUGACAACCACAUGCAACCCACGUCUAAGGAUUUCAAUUGACACAAAACCAUUAGAUUCAGAUCCAGACGAAGAAGAAGAGCCGGAACAUGAACCUGAAAUUCACAACAACCAAACACCAAUUCAUGAUGAUUUUUGGAAUCAAGACAUUUUUUCUCAACUACAAGAUCAUCAAUCCCAACAACAUACAACACAAAACAUACAUGGUUCUGUAAUGUAUGAAUUUCUCGACAACCCCCAACAAAAUAUCAUCCAACCACCACCAUAUACCUCUCCGAAAAAUGCACAUGAGCCCCAUUAUCAGUCACCUCUCCGCUAUGCCUUUCCUUCGCCGGAUCUUUGCCGUCACGGGAGCUUCUGCUUCAUUGCCAUAGCUUCAGCACAAUGAGUUAUCUUUGUGCUUAUCUAUCACCUAACUUGAAGCCAAGGGUUAGCCCUAUGGAGAUUUGCACGUUAACUCCUUUCAUUAUGCUCGCUAGGGCUCGUGCUGCCGGUGCCUAGCUUAUUGGACGUGUGGAAAUUUUGCAUACUGGAGCGUUGGAUUUUAGACUAUGAUGUAACUUAUUUAUUUUCAAGUUGUUCCGAAUUGUGGCGAAUUGAUGUUGGAUGUUGGAUUUAGACCAUGAUGUAACUUUGUUUAUUUUAAAGUUCUUCGUAAUUGUGGCAAA